rnacentral:rRNA from 1 species
AGAGAAGCAAUACCGCGAGGUGGAGCAAAACUUCAAAAAUAGGUCUCAGUUCGGACUGUAGGCUGCAACUCGCCUACACGAAGUUGGAAUUGCUAGUAAUCGUGGAUCAGCAUGUCGCGGUGAAUACGUUCCCGGGCCUUGUACACACCGCCCGUCACACCAUGGGAGCCGGUAAUACCCGAAGUCAGUAGUCCAACCUCGUGAGGACGCUGCCGAAGGUAGGAUUGGCGACUGGGGUGAAGUCGUAACAAGGUACC